UAGCGGCGGGACGGGGUGGAGUAACGACGUGGGGUAACCCUGCCCAAACGAGAUCGGGGAUAACACCUGGGAACAGAUGCUAAUACCCGGGAUAACACAGAUGAUGCCUAUCAACUGUUUUAAAAAGUAUGGGUUCUGCUAUCACUCUUGGAUGGACCUGCGGUGCAUUAGCUAGUUGGUAGGGUAACGGGCCUACCAAGGCGAUGAUGCAUAGCCGAGUUGAGAGACUGAUCGGCCACGUUGGGACUGAGACACGGCCCAAACUCCUACGGGAGGCAGCAGUAGGGAAUCUUCCACAAUGGACGCAAGUCUGAUGGAGCAACGCCGCGUGAGUGAAGAAGGGUUUCGGCUCGUAAAGCUCUGUUGUUGGUGAAGAAGGACAGGGGUAGUAACUGACCUUUGUUUGACGGUAAUCAAUUAGAAAGUCACGGCUAACUACGUGCCAGCAGCCGCGGUAAU
rnacentral:rRNA from 1 species